GAGGGGUGGUGUCAUAACUCUUGUAGUCAUAAGACUUGCCAGUUGGUAGUUACCAGUAUUCCAGACACUUCCUAAUGCCAGACAAACGCCCCAAGUCUCGGCUUGUCUGGCUCAGAGAUCUAUUCAACUGAUAGCAGCCGGCUGGGGGUAGGGGGGAGACACAUCUUGCAGGGAGCAGCCCUCCGACGACGCACAUCAAGCACAACAUUGUUCUCGGAAGGAAGAAUGGAAAGGUUUGUUUCAGAGUCACAACUUUUUUUUUUUAAGGCACCCGAGUUGUUUUAACAAGUUGCUACAAAACUUGGGUUUCCUGAGGCGAAGCUGUCAGGCACAGAGCAGAUACUGUACCGAACUCCAGAGAGGGAGGGAUCAGAAGGUUAGUCAUUAAAAAAGAAAAAGAAAAAAAAAGAAAAAAGCGGAAAAAAAAAAAGCCCCAGGCACAUCAUGCCUGGAAAUGAUGUAAGACGCGGCCGCUCCUCUGUUAGAACUACAACCAAACAAUGCUCCGGCAGCUGCUCUCCAAAUGUCAGCGCCAACCCCGGCCAAAGGGGCUGCAAAGCCACCCAGCGAAGGACUUUGUGCUCUACCUUUUUCGCCCACAUUUUCCCCAGGCACUCGCAGGAACCUGGCAACACGUAACGUGGCAACCUUUGCCUUCUAAAAUGGCAAGCGGCAGCAUUUCAGAGAACAAAAGGAUUUUUUGAAAGUCAGCUGCAUCUCCAUCCCCACCCCCACCCCACCCCCGACAGCCCCGCCCCCUCCUUCCCUCCCAACUCCGAGUCUGAGAAAACAAAGUGGUGCUGCGGGCAGCCCCGCUCUCGAGUGCCCCCUUGUGACCAAGCCCGGAACAUCACUGAUGUACCUUGAAAUCCGAGGCUCCGCUCCCCGGAAGAACUCUGGGGCAGGCGGUGACCUGUGGAAUGCUGUCUGACAGCCCACCAGGCCCAGGGAGGACACCAGCCCCUACGAUCUCAAGUGACAGAAUCAGCGCUUUCAAAUGACACCUUAUUAUCCAGCUGUGUCCCUGACAGGUGAGGACACAGAUCCAGAGAAGAACUUGGCCGGGGCCCCUGGGGCUUUGUGUCCGCGUCAUAUCACAGACUCCAUCAGUCUUUACAGUUAAUUUGGAAAGAGACACUUAAAGGCCACACUGACAGUGCCACUUGACAGUUAGGGUUUUUUGUCAUUUGCCAAAAUCAAAUCGUCACUGAGGAAACGGGUGAAGCCGGCACUGAAAUCUAUCACUCUCCCUACCCCCGACCUUCAUCCUGAUUCACACUGUUUACGGAUCCAGGCACCUGUUCCUAGAAUCCCAGUUCCACAAGGAGGCUGGAGAGUCUGGGUUGCCCACGUUCUCCAGCGUGGGGUCCUGUCAGAACCUGGGUUCUCUCCAUCUAAGCCUCCUUUCUCCUUUUUUAAACAGCUGCCUCUGUUUCUGUCCUUAAGUUUCUCCUUUGAAUCCUGUAAGAGCAACGUCCAUGUCCAGAAACCCUUUUCUGAAUCUCUUGGUCAAACGUGCUUGGAAUUCAGAACUUCCGCAGUUGUAGAAAGCCCGUGUGUGUGACACACCUGGGGGUCUGGGUGCUCUAAACUGUCUGUCUGCAGGAAGGUGUGCAAAGGCCACUCUGCAAGUGGUCACAAGGUCUGAUUCUGGCCAAUGGCUUUCAGGAUCGCAGCUUCAGGUGCCUCGGGACCAGCAGAGCUGCCAUCCUGGGCUGCCUCCUCCAGAGCAUCUCAGGUCCUGGGCGGGGCUCUGUCCCAGCCCAGCUCACAAAGAGGGUGGCAGAUGGGUGGUGGACUUGGCAUGGUGGGUGGACGAGGUUUCGGUAUCUUUGAGGGAAAGAGGAAUCCAAGAUCAAAUUCAGUAAAACUUAGGACUUCGUCUCUUUCCCUGACCGCGUUGGAGUUCGGGGUGUCCACGUGUUUAUCACGAUGUGUGUUUCACAGGCUGUCCUCAGAAACAUCUUUUUCUGGUUUUUGUUACAAUGGUAAUGGAGGUGCUUUUAAAAGUAGGGGCUUUUAACUGGCUUCUUCCCACAAUAUAGAAAGCUGUCUGUCAGAAUUACAGCAUGGAGUACUCUGGUGUGUCCUUGGAGAUAAACACCUCAUACGUGCAAGGCUGUGUGUGUGUGUCGUGUGUGCUU